rnacentral:rRNA from 1 species
UACAGAGGUCUCAAGCGUUGUUCGGAUUCAUUGGGCGUAAAGGGUGCGUAGGUGGCGCCGUAAGUCAGGUGUGAAAUCUCGGGGCUCAACCCCGAAACUGCACUUGAUACUGCGGUGCUCGAGUACUGGAGAGGAGAUUGGAAUUUACGGUGUAGCAGUGAAAUGCGUAGAGAUCAUGAGGAAGACCAGUGGCGAAGGCGGGUCUCUGGACAGUUCCUGACACUGAGACACGAAGGCCAGGGGAGCAAACGGG